rnacentral:rRNA from 1 species
GAUGAACGCUGGCGGCGUGCCUAAUACAUGCCAGUCGAGCGAACAGACGAGGAGCUUGCUCCUCUGACGUUAGCGGCGGACGGGUGAGUAACACGUGGAUAACCUACCUAUAAGACUGGGAUAACUUCGGGAAACCGGAGCUAAUACCGGAUAAUAUAUUGAACCGCAUGGUUCAAUAGUGAAAGACGGUUUUGCUGUCACUUAUAGAUGGAUCCGCGCCGCAUUAGCUAGUUGGUAAGGUAACGGCUUACCAAGGCGACGAUGCGUAGCCGACCUGAGAGGGGGAUCGGCCACACUGGAACUGAGACACGGUCCAGACUCCUACGGGAGGCAGCAGUAGGGAAUCUUCCGCAAUGGGCGAAAGCCUGACGGAGCAACGCCGCGUGAGUGAUGAAGGUCUUCGGAUCGUAAAACUCUGUUAUUAGGGAAGAACAAAUGUGUAAGUAACUAUGCACGUCUUGACGGUACCUAAUCAGAAAGCCACGGCUAACUACGUG